GCGCGUAACCUAUCAACAGGUGGCUCCGUGGCGCAAUGGAUAGCGCAUUGGACUUCUAGUCAAGCACUUGAGGAGUGAUUCAAAGGUUGUGGGUUCGAGUCCCACCGGAGUCGCAUCUUUUGCGCCUUUCAGUAUUUGCAUGUACAACCCACGCGAUUUUUUCCUAAUACUCCUCAGGGCAUAUCAAACAUAAUUUUAAUGUCUAUGCAUUUCUCACGUCAGGUUUUUUACUUGAUAAAACCAUUUUUAAUAGCAUAUAUCUAAAUAACAUUGCAAUAAUAGUUAGUGUAGACCAUUAUAAUCUAGGUAACAAAUUACUUUGAAGGGUUUAAAUUUGUUUGUCACGUCAAUGUCCAAGGUAGGCCUAUUUCAAUUCAUGGGGAUUAAUGACGAACACUACUGAGUGAUGGGCAUUUUUCCUUUGAGAACACUGCUUUAAACCUCCGUGAAAGGAGAGCACCACCCGGAAGGCUAAUACAUUAUGAACAGUGUAAGCUAAAACAUAACACUAUAAAAAAUAUAAAUCCAUACAUAAACAAGCAUAAAUUAGAACGUUAGCAUGCUAACAGGAAUGCUAUGUGGCUAAUUACACUAGCAUGCUAAUAUAAACUAGGCUAUGGGAGCCGCCAUCUUGGAAUGGUCACAUGACAAUAAUGACAACUGGAAGCGGUAGUCGCAUUGGAUGCGGUACAUUUUAGGCCUAUAUGUUUCAAUGGCAAGGGUGUUAUCACAUAUAUAACAUAUUUGGUGUUACUAAUUAGACAACAACCAAAAUAGGCCUACUUAUUAUAACUCAACCAAAAGUGUACAAAACAGGCGAUGUAACAUGGCAUAUUACAUACAGGUGAAAUACUAACCAAGUUAUACUGGCAAACAGUUAGGUAUAGUUGGCUAGUGACAAUGUAAUAAAGGGAUUGUUACAUAUAGGGAACAGGAAUAUACAAUAUGUUGGAGAAUAUAACUUGAAGUAAUGAAGGCACUCUGGCUCCACAAAGUCCACAUACAUGGGCAGUGACACUAAGGAGUCCAGAGGUUGUAGAACAAAAAGGUGUCCACAGGUGGAAUUCCUUGGAUGGGAGAAGUUCUGAGGUGAAGGGCACAUUUACUGGUGGAGACAGGUCAAAGUAGCCUAAUCGAUACAAACCAGAUAAUUGGCUGCAGCUGAUUGGCUAAAUAUGUCUGGCAUCAGAAUAAUAGUUGCCCAGCAACAUGG
rnacentral:tRNA from 1 species